GUCCACGCCCUAAACGAUGUCAACUAGGUGUUGGGUGGGUAAAACCAUUUAGUACCGGAGCUAACGCGUGAAGUUGACCGCCUGGGGAGUACGGCCGCAAGGUUAAAACUCAAAGGAAUUGACGGGGACCCGCACAAGCGGUGGAUGAUGUGGAUUAAUUCGAUGCAACGCGAAAAACCUUACCUACCCUUGACAUGUCCAGAAGCCUGAAGAGAUUUGGGUGUGCCCGAAAGGGAACUGGAACACAGGUGCUGCAUGGCUGUCGU
rnacentral:rRNA from 1 species